CUGACCUCUCUGGCCACUUUUUGUCAUUACAGGUAAAAAUAUAUAUAUAUACAAUCAAUAAACUUUUACGCUGUGACACUUCGGGCCAAAGGUCUUGCUACGCUGUGAUUGAUAUUAGAUGCCAGUCCUCACUCCUCUCCUUACCAUCUGAGGCUUGCCAUGCGUCCCGAUUGCGAUGUCCUUUUAAGGGGUGUGCUGAGCCGUUGAAACUUCUCGGGUGAAAAGUUGUCUGUUACACUUUCUGACUCCACACAUACUUC